GCACAAGCGGUGGAGCAUGUGGUUCAAUUCGACGCAACGCGAAGAACCUUACCUGGGCUAGACAACGGCGGACAGCCCUAGAAAUAGGGUCUUCCCUUCGGGGACCGCCGGUUCAGGUGCUGCAUGGCUGUCGUCAGCUCGUGCCGUGAGGUGUUGGGUUAAGUCCCGCAACGAGCGCAACCCUCGUCCUUAGUUGCCACCAUUCAGUUGGGCACUCUAGGGAGACUGCCGGCGUUAAGCCGGAGGAAGGUGGGGACGACGUCAAGUCAUCAUGGCCCUUAUGUCCAGGGCCACACACGUGCUACAAUGGGCGGUACAAAGGGUCGCAAACCCGCGAGGGGGAGCCAAUCCCAAAAAGCCGCUCUCAGUUCGGAUUGGAGUCUGCAACUCGACUCCAUGAAGUUGGAAUCGCUAGUAAUCGCGGAUCAGCACGCCGCGGUGAAUACGUUCCCGGGC
rnacentral:rRNA from 1 species